rnacentral:rRNA from 1 species
AUACGGAGGGGGCUAGCGUUGUUCGGAUUUACUGGGCGUAAAGCGCGCGUAGGCGGUAUAUCAAGUUAGGCGUGAAAGCCCCGGGCUCAACCCGGGAACUGCGCUUAUUACUGAUAAACUAGAGUCCGGGAGAGGGUGGCGGAAUUCCCAGUGUAGAGGUGAAAUUCGUAGAUAUUGGGAAGAACACCAGUUGCGAAGGCGGCCACCUGGACCGGUACUGACGCUGAGGUGCGAAAGCGUGGGGAGCGAACAGGAUUAGAUACCCGGGUAGUCC